GCGCACGCACUCCUCAGCCCUUGGGCCGUCAAUGGGACCGGGCGCCAGGGAGCAGGGGGCGGCGCUCAUUGGGGAGGCUCAGACAGCCCAGGAGCCCACAGGGGUGGGGAGGCUCAGGCAUGGCUGGCUGCAGGUCCUGAGCCCCACCCCGCGGGGGUGCAGCUGAGGCCCGGCGAGAAUUCCAGCGCAGCGCAGCGCUGGCGGGCCGGCACUGCUGGGGGACCCGGCUCACCCUCCGCAGCUGCUGGCCCAGGUGCUAAGCCCUUCACUGCCUGGGGCUGGCGGCGCCGGCCGCUCAGAGUGUGGGCCGCGGAGCCCACGCCUACCCGGAACUCACGCUCGCCCUGGAGAGCGGGUGUGCAGCCCCAGUUCCCGCCCGCGCCUCUCCCUCCACACCUCUCUGCAAGCAGAGGGAGACGGCUCCAGCCUCAGCCAGCCCAGAGACGGGGUCCCACAGUGCAGCGGCAGGCUGAAGGGCUCCUCAAGCGUGGCCCGAGGAGACGCCAAGGCCCAGGAAGCGCUGAGAGCGAGAGACGGCCGCCAGCACGUUGUCACCUCUCACAGUGACCUUGGCAGAUGCGUGGAUGCUGACGAAAAUUGUACAAGAGAAUUUAUGAACAAAAACAAAAGAGACAAAUGGCGAAAAAUAUUUGAAGUACUUUUUCUUGGGCUGGCUCUUCUCCAAAUGACAACUGAUAAUUAGCUACAGCUCCAGUCCCUCUCCAUAAAGCUGCCCUCUGGAGUCUGGUAACUGCUUUGUCUCCUUCCCCGCUCAGACCUGGAUGGUAGUGGCUCCCAAGUGUCAUCAUCUAUAUUAAUUAUCAAUUGCAGCAUAACCAAUUAACAUGAAUUUAGUGGCUUAAACCAACACACAUUAAUUAUCUCAAAGUUUCUAUGGGUCAGGAAUCAGGCAUGGUUUAGCUGUAUCCUCUGACUCUGGGUGUCCCAGCAGAAGCAAUCAAGGUAUUGGCCAGGGCUGGUGCUCAUCUGAAAGCUCCACUAAGGAAGGAUUUAGUUCAAAUUCAUUGUUGCUGUAUUUAUUUCCUUUUGGAUUGUAGGACUGAGGGGCUCAGUUCCUUUCUGGCUAUUGACCAGAGGGUAUCCUCAAUCCCUUGCCGUGUAGUACUCUCCAGCAUGGCAACUUGCUGCCUCAAAGCCAGCGAGGGCAAGUGUCUGCUAGCAAGACAUAAGUCAGAGUCUUUUGUAAUUUAAUCUUAGAAGUGGCGUACCCUCAAAGUUGAGAUAUUCUGUUGGUUGUAUACAACUUAAUCAAGGGGAGGAGAUUACAUGAGGCAGUGAAUAGCACAAGAUCAGGAUCAUUGGGGUCAUCUUGAAAGCUGCCUACCAUCCCGUGUCUUGUUAGAGAACUUAAAUUCUGCCCACACCUUAGUAAAUAGCCCCCUAUUUAAGUGUGCCAUCAAAUAGGGGGCUAUUUACUAAGCCCCCUAUUUGAGGAUGAUAAAUUCAAUUUAAUCAGUCUUCUUUCUAUUCACUCUGAUGAAUUACUGUUCACUCUGAAUAAUGUGCUGGUUUCCAAGAUUCACCAAAACUAAAGAAAGCUAUCAGUACUGAACAUUCUCAGCAUAUUCAGUCAUCCAGGCCAACAUGGUCUAUAAAUGUAACAAUUUGCCUAAGUCAUGAAAUAAAACAUUUUUUUCUAAAAUAAUUUACAUUUAUACCUGAUUAGAUCAAAUGAGAAUUAGUUCAUGAGAAAUUGUGUAGGAUAUCAAGGGUCUUGUGAUGGUUAAUAUUGAGUGUAGACUUGAUUGGAUUGAAGGAUGCAAACUAUUUUUGGGGGGUAUGUCUAUAAGGGUGUUGCCAAAGGAGAUUAACAUUUGAGUCACUGGAUUGGGAGAGGCAGACCCACCCUCAGUCUAGGUGGGCACCGUCUAAUCAACUGCUGGCAUAAAAUCAGGCAAGGAAAGAACAGACUUGGCUGAGUCUUCUGGCCUCCAUCUUUCUCCUGUGCUGGAUGCUUCCUGCCCUCGAACAUCAGACUCCAAGUUCUUCAGCUUUUGGACUCUUGGACUCACAUCAGCGAUUUGCCAGUGGUUCUUGCACCUUUGGCCACAGAUGGAAGGCUGUACUAUCAGCUUCCCUACUUUUGGGGUUUUGGGACUUGGACUGGCUUCCUUGCUGCUCAGCAUGCAGACGGCCUAUUGUGGGACUUCACCUUGUGAUCUUGUGAGUCAAUACUCCUUAAUAAACUUCCCUUCACAUAUUCAUCUAUCCAAUUAGUUAUUUCCCCUUAGAAAACCCAGACUAAUACAGGCCUAUACAAUUGUGUGGUAGAUUUAGCAAUAGUAUGACUAGAACAAGUGAAAAUGCUGUAAUCAAGAAAACUAUUAAACAUUA
rnacentral:lncRNA from 1 species